GCGAGCAGCAGGACCCGGAUGCCGGCGGGCUAUGGAGUUCCCCUUCGAUGUGGACGCGCUGCUCGGGGAGCGGGUCACGGCGGUGGACCAACACCUCCAGCCGCCGGGCCGCCGGGGGCCUGGCUACACCGCGACCCACAGGGUGGAUCUGCAGCAGCAGCUCAUGACCAUCAUAGACGAGAUGGGCAAGGCCUCGGCCAAGGCCCAGAACCUGCCGGCCCCAAUCACCAGCGCCUCGCGGAUGCAGACAAACCACCACGUUCUCUACAUCCUGAAGGACAAUGAAGUGAAGAGAGCGGGGAAAGGGGCCAUAAUCGGCUUCCUCAAGGUUGGCUACAAGAAGCUCUUCCUGCUGGAUCGCCAUGGGGCUCACAAUGAGGCGGAGCCGCUGUGCGUGCUGGACUUCUAUAUCCACGAGUCGCUGCAGAGGCACGGCUACGGCAAGGAGCUCUUCCAGUGCAUGCUGCAGCGCGAGCGAGUGCAGCCCCACCAGCUGGCCGUGGACCGCCCCUCGGAGAAACUCCUCUGCUUCCUCCGCAAGCACUACAACCUGCAGGGGACCAUCCCCCAGGUGAACAACUUCGUGAUCUUCGAGGGCUUCUUUGCCGACCAGCAUGCUCCGGUGAGGAAGUUGCCUCCAAAGCGUGCUGAGGAGGAGAUAAAACCCUACUCUCUAACAGACCGAGAGUUCCUGAAGGAGGAGGUGGAGCCACCCUGGCCCUUCAACCAGUCGCAUUCGCUGACCCGCUCCAGCAGCCUGGGGAACUCGCCAGUUCGCACCUGCCUCAAGCCCUUCCUCAACGAGCAGGAGCUGCUGCGGAACCUGCGCCUCUGCCCCCCGCACGCGGCCGCCCACCACCUGCUCAACGGCGAGCAGGGCGGGCCGGCCGCCCAGAGGCGGAGAACCAGCUCCCUCACCCGCUCGGAAAACACCAGCCAUUGACAUCGCCGCUGUGUCCCCCACCCUCGCCCCGGCUUGGUCGUCCAUUUGUGUCUUGAGAUCUUGGCGAGAGGCGGGGUUUCAGCCCCAUCGCUCCUCUCCAGCCCUUUUUUAUAUGCUUGGGGGUGGGUGCUGGCGCAGACGCCGGGUUAUUUCUGGGGCCCAGUGGGUGUUUUUCCUGGGCUGCUUGUUUUUCUAUGGAAUUAUCCUAAAGCACCCUCCGAAGAGGGAUCCGCUCCCGUUAGCACGGUAGCUCCCCCCUGCCCCCUUUUUAAAAAAUAUGCAUAUGUUGUACUUUGGAUCCAGUGGGAAAUCUGGUUCUGAUCGUCCCGCCCGUGCCAGAUCUCAAAACGGGAUCCGCUGCUUGGUGACAGAUCAGAUCCUCCCUCCUUGUGUUUGUCUGUAGGUGGAUUUAAAGAAAAGGAUCCAUUGCAAAUUGGCAACUGCAGACUCAGAAAUAGGACCCCCUUGUUUGUCUUGGGAUCUAACUGGGAUCCACUAUAGAUUGCCAGUGGACUCAAACUAGAUCUCCUCAAGCCACUCUAGAAUCAGGUCCCCUUGCAGGUCACCACUGGCUUACUUAAGGAUAGAAUCCAUGUGUGUUCCUUAGUGGGUGGAUCUAAAAGCGACCUACUAAUUUGCUGACUUAAGGGGAUCCCUUUAUUUUUCUGAGUGGCUGGAUCUAAAAGGGAUCACCAAAUGCUAACCUCAUAAUCAGAAAUAGGAUCCCCUUAUGUUUCUCGAUGGAUCUAAGUGGGAUCCAAUGUGGGUGGAGUCUAGAGCAAGGUGCCCCUUGUGGUUCAUGCUUACUGGAUUUAAAGGGUCUACUGCUGAUCACCAGUUACCGGUUUUGUUUCUUAAUUGGUGGAUCUAAAAGGGAUCUGCUGCAGGUCACCAAUUCCUGGUUUUAAAAUGAGAUCCCAUGUGAUUUGCUGUUGGUGGAUUUAAAAAGAUCCAUGCUUGCCCACCAACAAGACUCUGAAAUAAAGUCCCUUUGUCUUGUGUGGUUGCUGGAUCUAAAAGGGAUCUGCUGCCGAUUACCAGUUGCUGGCUUCAAAAUAUGACUCCUUCCUUGUUUCCCAGUGGCUGGAUCUAAAAGAGAUCCAGUGCAGAUCAUCAGUAGCUGACUCCAGAAUAAGAUCUGCUUCUGUAGUUCUCUUGAGUGGGUUAGAAAGGGAUGUGCUUCAUGCUGCCAACUACUGAAACCAAACUAAGAUUCUUUGGUGGAUCUGAAACGGGGCCCACCUUAGCAACACCCAAGACCGACAGGCUCCGCCGGCCUCAAAGGCCGGCCUCCAAAGGCGAUCCGCUACAUGUUGCCAAUUGCUAAAUCCAACAAAUAGAGCCUGCCCCCAGCUUCCUGAUCGGCUGGGUUGCCACAUGGCUCCAUUACAAAUGCCUCUUAAAAAGAUUGUCUACAAAUUGCCAGGGGCUAAAGCCUCGAGGGAUCCACUGUCUGCUGCCAGAUCCUUCUGAGGGGUCCCUUCAGCUGACAGAUCCAUGGUAGGGAUCUACGGAGGAUGCGGCCAGUAGCCAGAUGCCCCCAAAGGGAACCGCUGUUAAUGACUUCUCAGUUGCUUUUGCUCCAGUUCCCCUGAAGGCAUCACAGCUGUUCGUAGGAUUAGAGUAGGGAGGCUUGAGAGCCAGGACUCCUCAGUUCUAUCCCCAGUUCUGGGAGCGGAGGAGGGGCCUAGUGUGUUACAACAGGGGAGCAAGGAGUAAGGGAUCUUGGGUUCUAGCCCCAGCUCUGGGAGGGCAGUGGGGCCAAGUGGUUAAAGCAGGAAGGCUGGGAGUAGAGAGCCCUGAGUCCCUUCACAGACUCACAAUGUGAAACUGGGCAAGUCCUUUCCCCUCUCUGUGCCUCAGUUUCCCCAACUGUAAAUGGAUAAAAUUAGGGUCCCAUCUCCCAGGGCUGUCAUGAAGCUUAAUGAAAGUGUUAAUUAGUUAAUAAUUAUUAACACUGGAAAACUUUGAUUCUAAACUUUCCCUGACCUGAAUCUGGUGCUCUUAUUUUAAAAUUAUAUUAGAACCUGGAGGGCCAGCUGAGAUCAGGGCCCCGUUGUGCCAGGCGCUGCACAGACACACAGCGAGAGACAGUCCCUGCCCUAGCUGAGAUCAGGGCUCUGCUGUGCCGGGUGCUGCACAGACACAGUGAGAGACAGUCUCUGACCCAGCUGAGAUCAGGGCCCCGUUGCGCCCUGCCUCAAAGAACCGACAAUCAGACCAGGCAGAUAAGGGAAGGAGUGUUCUCCCCAUUUUACAGAUGGGGAAACAGGCCAGAGAAAUUAAUGCCUAGAUCCUCAAAGGUAUGUAGAGGUGUACCUGUGAUGAAGUGGGAAUGUUCUAUAGUAGUUAUAUGAGGCAUAUGCCUCAGUUUCCCCAUCCUCAGUGCUCCCCGUCAAUACCGUGACAGCGGCAGCCUUUUCCAAACAAGGGAACCAUUGGUUAGUCACCCGGCACAUGGCAGCUGGAGGAUCUUAGGUCAGCGUGGAGGAAAGCAGGUUCAAGCACAGUGAACUCCAUGGUCAGGCUCUGUCUCUCUCAAGCCGACCUCCUUCCUCCGCUCCCAGCUUCCUCCAGAAGCCAGCACUCCUCCCCCACCUCUCCAGGGCCGUCCGGGCGGGUGGGGGGGUGUGAGUGGGGCAAUUUGCCCCAGGCCCCGCAGGGGCCCCCAUGAGAAUAUAGUAUUCUAUAAUAUUGCUAGUUUUUAAUUUAUGGAAAGGGCCCCCGAAAUUGCUUUGCCCCAGGCCCCCUGAAUCCUCUGGGCGGCCCUGCACCUCUCGCUCGUUUGUUCUGGGCUUUUUGCUCAGCUUCCUGGCAGGGAGGCGGGGAAAUCCAUGAAGCCCUGGAGCUCGGUUCUCUCUCGCUGCCCCCCUUGUUAAUCUGGGUCAGUUUCCACCAGUUCCUUAAGGGCUCUUGGUUCCACCCAGGCAGGGAGGGGAGCCCCACCUAUGUCUCUUAGCCUGCCCUGAGAGCAAACUUAAAUCGGUGUUCCUCCACUGGGUACCAGUGCCACGUGCAGGGGAAACUGAGGCAUGCAGGCCUCCAUACAAAUACUAGGGAAAGUCCCCACUCCGUCACAAUGCCCAUUGAACUCACUAGCUGUUAUGCGCCUAGAUGCCUGGGAGGAUCUGCACCUCCAGGACUUGCCGAAGGUCACACCCCCUCAGUGGCAGAGCUGGGAACACCUGGUUCCCAGCCCAGGGCCUUGUCCACCAGCCUUCCAGCGCACCGCUAGCUUACUGGGUUGACAGUGUCUCGCUCUGAUCUCUGUCCCCGUUUGUCCCCCCCCAGCUGCCCAGGGCUCUGAGCUGCCUUCGGUCGUUAGCGUUGAACGCGGGAACAUGAGCUUUUGUUUACAUUUCAAUAAAGUUUGGAGUUUUUUUUAUUAUUAUUCAAAACCUUCCUCGGACGCCUUUGUCGUUUAUUGUUGCA